ensembl:lincRNA Gm13346 predicted gene 13346
AGCCAAUUAAGGAUGGAUUUUACAGUUUGAGUCUCAGGGUAACCUCAUUUCCAUAUCUCUAGUCUUGAUUUAGAUUUUUAACUCCCUCUCACUUUGAGAUUAAGCACCGGUUUGCAAAGGGCCCCACAGACUUCAGUGCAUAAAACAGAGGACCCGCGCCUCCAGGCACUGGUAAGGAAUCAAUGGCUCCUUCCGCUCUUUGUCUGUGCGCUUGGCGCUGUAAGCUGCUACCUUGAUUUUGGAGAUUUGAGACAGAAGUUGGCUGCAGAACCUGUUAUUGAGAGCAAAGAUCUUUUGAAUUACACUGAGAAUCGGAGUCCUGCAGAAACUGAACCAGAAAAAAGAAAACAGACCGAUCAUCUGUUUGUGCUGGCUCUGCAAGCCAGGGUGCUGGCAGGAGAGGCCUGAGCAUUUCAGCUGCUAAGAAAAAGUUAUGGGCAUGAAGGGAGGAAAAAGAAAAAAGGAACCCACAAAGUAUCAGAAGACCAGCUACAGAGAGCUAAGGAAAAUCAUCUCUCCAGAACUUGCUAGUUACCACAGUUCACUACGGAGUUUGGAUCCACAAGGUCACUCUUGAAUCUUAGGCCUAACUGGAGCUCACCUGUGGCAGAAGGAGCCAGUGUAGAGCCUCCAGAGCUCUCUCCUGAGGGAUGGAUGGGUGACAUGAUGCAGUCUCACUGCAGAAGAAGUGCCAUCAUUGGACUUCAGUGGAAUCAGAUGAGGCUAUGUAUGGCCAGGAUCACCAUCAAGCAAGAACCAAAGUCUAAACCUCGGGCAGGACCAACCAAUUCGGGCAAGAAUGUAGACUGCAUAAGAAUAUAUACUGCAUACAGCUGGGCCUAGAAAGGGGCCACUGCCAAGAAGCAAAACUCUCUCGGGAAUUUCUCUUCCUCCUUCAUCUCAGUUCCUUGGCAUAUUUAUUUUAUCACUCUGAGAACCAGCUACAUUUUCUGCUCCUCUGGGACUCUGUGGAAUAAAUUACACAUAUGAUAUUUUAAAUUUAGAUGUUAGCACCCCUGACUAGGAAUGUACUAAUCUUGCAUGGGCUGAAUGACUACCCAGGUGCAGGGAGCCGUCGGCAUCAGGGGUAAGGCUUCCCCUUGAUGGCAUGAGAGAGUGGCAGAAAGCAGAAAAAGCAUGGCAGAACUGAGAAACCCUUUAGACCAGGGGUCCUCAGCCUUCCUAAUGCUACCACCCUUUGAUGCAGUUCCUUGUGUUGUGGUGACUGCCAACCAUCAAAUUAUUUUUGGUGCUACACCAUAACAGUAAUUUUGCCACUUUUUUCCUGUAAACACCUUUUAUUCAGUUAGCCACACUAGCAGGCAAUUUUUCCACACCAGAAAGGAGUCAUGACUUGAUUUUUCCUGCUUCCAAAAUGUUUAUCAAAUCCUGUGUCUCCCAACAAAUGAAACAUCCAUUGUCUGUGAGACUCGCUCUGGGGAAUGGAGGUGAGUCUCCAGUCUGUAUGCACCAUGAGCAGGAAUGUCAGUCUUUCCUCCUCUUCUUUACAUAUCUAUUCCUCCUAAAGUAUCAUUCCAGAAAACUGGGAAUGAACGACUACAAGGUCAAGGGAGGAAAGGAGGUUGGGACGCACACACCAUGAACACAAACGAAAUGAAAAUUGUACAAAAGCAGUUUAUAGUGGACUACUCUGAGACACCAAAGGCUGGUUGAAGGAAUUAGCCAUUCUGCAGGAGCCGGGGCUGUGUGCUGUGUGUAGAUCUGAGCCAAGCAAUUCACACUGACUUGGGGUUAUAAUCCCCCUGCCCAUGCCUAAGUCUGGUUUCUGCAUCAUGCCUCCACAGGGGCCUCUCAUCCCACCACUCGGCACACCAUGGGGGGCUUUAGGUCCCGAAGGCAGUUAUCCCUGCAGUCGCCUUCUGUAGGAGCUCAAGACUUCUUCUCUUCCACAUUCAUGCACGCAGCGCUUCGGAACAUGAUGGGCCUAUUAUUAAAGACCUUCUGAACAGGUUCAGAGCCAUCAAACAACAAAACCGCAAUUGGGUAACUUCCCUCCACUGUUGAUGUGCAGCUCCAUCACGUUCCCAUAUUUUUGGAAAAAAUCCUUCAGUUCCUCAUGUCAACCUCAUGAGCUGUCAGGGUGCCUCACCAUCCUUCAAAGUUCCACAUCUCCUGGUUUACCAGCCUCACAAAUUGAUCAGGGUCCUCUCUGAGGAGGGAUAUUGAUCCAUUGUUCUCGAACUCUCUGAUCUCUCUGAGGCCUUUGUGGUGGGAUCUGAAAGUCAGGCUUAGAUUCUGGAUGGGGCUGUAAUACUGGCACUUUGACCACAUGAGGUGGUGUCCUUGUCACUGGAACAGCCCCACUGGGAGGUAGUUCUUACUAGUCACAGAUGCCCAAAAAAAAUGCCCUCACGUCCUCCUGUGCUGGGACCAUGUCUGCCAGGGCCUAGGAAGUGCUGUUCUGCGCAUCCUCAGGAGCAGCUUCUUCCAAUGCAGCCUCAGGUUUGUCCUCUUCAAUGUCGGUCGGGCACAAGUUCUGGCUCCGUCUCUGGUUCCAGUUCCACAGCAGGGUCCUCUAAAUGUUCCUCCAAGUCAUUGCUGACAGUCUGAUCAUAGAAAGUUCAGGAAUCAGGCACCACCUCUGGUGUCUUCUGUCUUUCUUUGGGUUCCUCUACGUCUUCCUCGGAUUCCUCUUGAGGAUCUGUGACAAAGCCACUGAAGAGCUCAUCUUGUUAUUUGAAGUUGUCGUUGUGAACAUAGAAUUUGUUGGCAACAGAGCCCUCAGGAGCAAGGACAAAGGCUUGUGUGAACCUUCGCAGAACCUGGUUGUUGUUGGACAGUAGCCCCAUCACUUGGACCACCACCCGGUCAUUCAGAGUUGCUUGAGCAUCCAUAUGGUGGAUCUUGGUGUGGCAGUUUGGUGAUGUUUUGUGACAUCACUUUCCUAUGGAUUUCCUUCUGCCCGUAGAUGGCACCUGCUGGCUUCCCAUUGGAAUCUAAGACCCCAUGGGUAUAGGAAGAGUUCUUUCAAUAAAAUCUGUGUAGCAUGUCCAUGGCCUGGUUCAGCAGGGUAUAGUACUAUCACACAAACUCCCUCCCAACCAGCAUGUGACUAGGCAUCUCCAUAACCAUUGCUUUGGUGGAAUCAACCUAUGUGGCUGAGUCAGAGGAGAGGGUUGCUGUGUGGGAGGAGGUGGCGGCAUCCCUACUAUUAUGAAUUGUAAUGUAAAUAUUUUUGAAACUGGAUGUUUACCAAAGAGGUCAUGACACACUGGUUGAGAAUUACUGUUUUAGACCAAUUUAAAUGAUGAAGAAACCAAAGUUCAGGAGAUCCUGGUUGAUUCCUAGUAGAAAAAAACAUGGCAACCCAGUACUGAGUCCAAGGCUCUUCAGGUCUCAGCACAAAAGUCACACAAUGGAUGAGCAAUGCCCCCCACAGGUCCCUGGGACCUCUUGGUCCCCAGCUGGAAGCACUCUUUUGGAAGGCUGACUGGUUAGCCUUAUAGGUUAAAUAAAGCCUGGCUCUGGUUCCCACCCCAGCUGUAAACCCCACAUCCCCAUCUUAUCUUUCCAUGGCCCUGGUCUCCUCCUCAGCUGUAAGCUCUCCCCACCUCUAUGCAACUCCUCUAAAGCUUCCAAGCAAAAUAAACGCUUCUUUAAGUUGCUUCUUUC